rnacentral:hammerhead_ribozyme from 1 species
AUCUAGCUGACGAGUUUCAAAUAGGACGAAACGCGCAUUCCGGAU